ensembl:miRNA
CGGGAGGAUGCUUCGGUACGGGGCGCGUCGCCCCCCUCAGGCCACCAGAGCCCGGAUACCUCAGAAAUUCGGCUCUGGGUCUGUGGGGAGCGAAAUGCAACCCAAACCCCGUUUUCCCCG